rnacentral:rRNA from 1 species
AUACGGAGGGUGCAAGCGUUGUCCGGAUUUAUUGGGUUUAAAGGGUGCGCAGGCGGUGCGUUAAGUCAGUGGUGAAAUCUUCCGGCUCAACCGGGAAACUGCCAUUGAUACUGGCGCACUUGAGUACGGACGAGGUAGGCGGAAUUUAUGGUGUAGCGGUGAAAUGCAUAAAUACCAUAAAGAACACCGAUAGCGAAGGCAGCUUACCAGACCGUAACUGACGCUCAGGCACGAAAGCGUGGGGAGCAAACAGGAUUAGAAACCCUAGUAGUCC